rnacentral:lncRNA from 1 species
GGUAAACAGUGAAAAGUAAGUCUAUUUCCACCUCUGUCGCCUAGCCACCCAGUUUCUCUCCCCAGAGGCAACCACUAUUAUUAAUUUGCUAUCUUUUUUGAGAUAGUUUAUGCAUGUACACACAUACACACACAUACCCCACAUAUACUUUUAUAUAAAUGGUAGCAUUCUACACAUACUAUUAUAUGCCUGGCCUUUUUAACUGAACAUAUUCAGAGAUCAUUUCAUAUUAGUAUCCAUGGGAUGAUCUUAUUCUUUUUAAUGUCUGCAUAGUAUUCCAUUGAUUGGGAGAAACUUUAAAACAUUUUUAGGAUGCUUAAAGAGGUAAAGAAUACUCUCCUUUAAAAAGAACAAAAAAUACAAAUUAAAAGAGGUGAAAGAAACAGGUUUAUAUAGUAAAGAACUAACUUGAACAUAUGAAAAUUAAAAAUGUUGCUAUAUAAAAUGCAUUUUAAAGGGGGUGGCUAGGGUUUACUUAGCAUGUGCAAGGUCCUGGGUUGGGUCCUACAACAUUGCUGGGGAAGACAGAAAAAAGGCUGACACUUAAAAGGGUAUAGUUCUAAUUUGUGGAUGUAGCUUAAUUGGGAGAGUUCUUGCUUAGCAUAUGUGAAGCCCUGUAUUUAAUGCUACCCAGAACUGGAUGUGCCGACUCAGGCCUGUAAUCUGAGCACUUGGGAGGGAAACAGGAAGACUGGCAGGGAUUCAAGAUAAUCUUUGGCUAUAUGCUGAAUUGGAGGUCAGCCUGGGCUACGUGAAACCCCGUCUUAAAAACAGUU